ensembl:lncRNA
GUUGGCCGCUUUCCCUCCCCCGUAGCUCGUCUCCCGAGCGGUAGCGCAGGCCGCAGCUAGCCGCCGCCUGAGGCUCCGCGCACCGCUGGCCGAAGGGCCGUCGAGCAGAGCUUUCCCGGUGAAAUAGGCGCGGCCGCUCCUCAUUGCAAGCCUCAGCCAACCUUCAGCCCAAAAAGCGUGACGUGGAACUGAGCGCCGUGCAGGACUGCAGAGCGCCGUGGAGAGACUCCGAAGAGCAGCAGCUCAAUGUGCAGAACACAGGCGGGAGGAAACAGGAAACCAUUCCCACAGCUGCAGCACUUGCUGUAUUCUGGUGCAGGCCGAGUAAAAUCUUCUUACCUUAGACAACAGACAACAGCUUCUGUGACUGUUCAGGAAACCAGUGAAGCCUCCAUCAGCCAACAGAUAAGUCUAGAAAAGGUGGGUAAUGUGCUUCGUAUUUGCUUUGAAGAAUUUGAUCUUUCAGGAUGCUCCUCCUAAACUUAAUCUCUGUGUUGUGUGCAUAAGUGUAAUUACAACCCCAAACUCUUUGAAAUCCAUGAGAUGUGUUACAAAAAGCUGAGUAAGUGACCUGGGGAGUAAGUGACAAGUGGAG